rnacentral:lncRNA from 1 species
UUUCUACUUCUUGCCCCAGCAUUGCUUUCUCAUCCUGUAAUCGAUCAGCCAAGGUUCUCAAGUCUUCUGCAGUAUCCUCCAUCUCUUCAAUUCUUCUCACAGCAGUCUCUUUCUCCAUGAACAGGUUGUCUUUCUCUCUAGUCAUAUCUUCCAAUCUUGAACUUUGUACCAAAAUUGAUGAGGUAAGAGAUUUAUUUUCUUCCUCAGAAUGUGUCAAUUUUUGGCUUAAAUUUGACACUUGUUGCUCUGCAGAUUCUAGUUGCUGCUUAAUACUGGCAACUUCUGCUCUAAAAUUUUCUAGUUGUUGCCCAAGAAUUACCUUUUCUUUCUCAGCAACUUCCAAACUGUGAUUAAGAUCUGCUGCCAUCUGCUCUACAGAUUGCAGUUGUUGCUUCCUGCUGGUAAGUUCCUCUCCAAGGGUUUCUACUUCUUGCCCCAGCAUUGCUUUCUCAUCCUGUAAUCGAUCAGCCAAGGUUCUCAAGUCUUCAGCAGUCUUCUCUAUCUCUUCAAUUCUUCUCACAGCAGUCUCUUUCUCCAUGAGCAGGUUGUCUUUCUCUCUAGUCAUAUCUUCCAAUCUUGAAUUCUGUACCAAAAUUGACGAGGCAAGAGAUGUAUUUUCUUCCUCAGAAAGUGUCAACUUUUGGCUUAAAUCUGACACUUGCAGCUCUGCAUAUUCUAGUUGCUGCUUCAUACUGUUGACUUCUGCUCUAAAACUUUCUAGUUCUUGCCCGAGAACUGCCUUUUCUUUGUCAGCAACUUCCAAAGUGUGAUUAAGUUCGGAUACAAUGUGCUCUGUAGACUCCAGUUGGUGCCUCCUGCUGGUAAGUUCCUCUCUGAGGGUUUCUAUUUCUUGCCCCAGCAUUGUUUUCUCAUCCUGCAAUCGAUCAGCCAAAGUUCUCAAAUCUUCAGUAGUCUUCUCUAUCUCUUCAAUUCUUCUCACAGCAGUCUCUUUCUCCAUGAGCAGGUUGUCUCUCUCUGUAGUCAUAUCUUCCAAUCUUGAAUUCUGUACCAAAAUUGACGAGGCAAGAGAUUUAUUUUCUUCCUCAGAAUGUGUCAAUUUUUGGCUUAAAUCUGACACUUGUAGCACUGCAGAUUCUAGUUGCUGCUUAAUACUGGC